rnacentral:rRNA from 1 species
AGUCGUAACAAGGUCUCCGUUGGUGAACCAGCGGAGGGAUCAUUACUGAGUUUACGCUCUAUAACCCUUUGUGAACAUACCUAUAACUGUUGCUUCGGCGGGUAGGGUCUCCGUGACCCUCCCGGCCUCCCGCCCCCGGGCGGGUCGGCGCCCGCCGGAGGAUAACCAAACUCUGAUUUAACGACGUUUCUUCUGAGUGGUACAAGCAAAUAAUCAAAACUUUUAACAACGGAUCUCUUGGUUCUGGCAUCGAUGAAGAACGCAGCGAAAUGCGAUAAGUAAUGUGAAUUGCAGAAUUCAGUGAAUCAUCGAAUCUUUGAACGCACAUUGCGCCCGCCAGCAUUCUGGCGGGCAUGCCUGUUCGAGCGUCAUUUCAACCCUCAAGCUCUGCUUGGUGUUGGGGCCCUACAGCUGAUGUAGGCCCUCAAAGGUAGUGGCGGACCCUCCCGGAGCCUCCUUUGCGUAGUAACUUUACGUCUCGCACUGGGAUCCGGAGGGACUCUUGCCGUAAAACCCCCAAUUUUCCAAAGGUUGACCUCGGAUCAGGUAGGAAUACCCGCUGAACUUAAGCAUAUCAAUA